rnacentral:rRNA from 1 species
AUUCCAGCUCCAAUCGUGUAUAUUAAAGCUGUUGCGGCUAAAAAGCUCGUAGUCGGAUUUCUGCCGAGGACGACCGGUCCGCCCUCUGGGUGAGCAUCUGGCUCGACCUGGGCAUCUUCUUGGAGAACGUGGCUGCACUUGAUUGUGUGGUGCGGUAUCCAGGACUUUUACUUUGAGGAAAUUUGAGUGUUUCAAGCAGGCAUACGCCUUGAAAACGUUAGCAUGGAAUAAUAAGAUAGGGUCACUUCUCUAUUUUGUUGGUUUCUAGAAUCGUGACAAUGAUUAAUAGGGAUAGUCGGGGGUAUUUGUAUUCAACUGUCAGAGGUGAAAUUCUUGGAUUUGUUGAAGACAGACUACUGCGAAAGCAUUUACCAAGGAUGUUUUCAUCA